AUGCCACCAAAGCCAUAUCGUGAACAACAACCUCUAUCCACUAUCAACUCUCCGUCUUCAUCCGGAAAUCUUUCUCACUCCAAUUCACCGUCUCACUUUGAUGUGCUCCGUCUCAUAUCUCUACUGCUACUUCUUCUUCUUCGCGGCUACGUUUGCUCACGAAUCAACGCCUCAACGCUUCAUCUGAUUUGUUUCAAUUCUGACACAAUAAUUUUGUUCUUCAGCUCCAAAAUAAUGCUAUCGUCACACUUCUCAUCUCUCGACCGAAGCAAACGAAAGAGCUAA